rnacentral:rRNA from 1 species
GGGGAAACCCAGUGUGAUUCGUCACACUAUCAUUAACUGAAUCCAUAGGUUAAUGAGGCGAACCGGGGGAACUGAAACAUCUAAGUACCCCGAGGAAAAGAAAUCAACCGAGAUUCCCCCAGUAGCGGCGAGCGAACGGGGAGCAGCCCAGAGCCUGAAUCAGUGUGUGUGUUAGUGGAAGCGUCUGGAAAGGCGUGCGAUACAGGGUGACAGCCCCGUACACAAAAAUGCACAUACUGUGAGCUCGAUGAGUAGGGCGGGACACGUGGUAUCCUGUCUGAAUAUGGGGGGACCAUCCUCCAAGGCUAAAUACUCCUGACUGACCGAUAGUGAACCAGUACCGUGAGGGAAAGGCGAAAAGAACCCCGGCGAGGGGAGUGAAAAAGAACCUGAAACCGUGUACGUACAAGCAGUGGGAGCACGCUUAGGCGUGUGACUGCGUACCUUUUGUAUAAUGGGUCAGCGACUUAUAUUCUGUAGCAAGGUUAACCGAAUAGGGGAGCCGAAGGGAAACCGAGUCUUAACUGGGCGUUAAGUUGCAGGGUAUAGACCCGAAACCCGGUGAUCUAGCCAUGGGCAGGUUGAAGGUUGGGUAACACUAACUGGAGGACCGAACCGACUAAUGUUGAAAAAUUAGCGGAUGACUUGUGGCUGGGGGUGAAAGGCCAAUCAAACCGGGAGAUAGCUGGUUCUCCCCGAAAGCUAUUUAGGUAGCGCCUCGUGAAUUCAUCUCCGGGGGUAGAGCACUGUUUCGGCAAGGGGGUCAUCCCGACUUACCAACCCGAUGCAAACUGCGAAUACCGGAGAAUGUUAUCACGGGAGACACACGGCGGGUGCUAACGUCCGUCGUGAAGAGGGAAACAACCCAGACCGCCAGCUAAGGUCCCAAAGUCAUGGUUAAGUGGGAAACGAUGUGGGAAGGCCCAGACAGCCAGGAUGUUGGCUUAGAAGCAGCCAUCAUUUAAAGAAAGCGUAAUAGCUCACUGGUCGAGUCGGCCUGCGCGGAAGAUGUAACGGGGCUAAACCAUGCACCGAAGCUGCGGCAGCGACGCUUAUGCGUUGUUGGGUAGGGGAGCGUUCUGUAAGCCUGUGAAGGUGUGCUGUGAGGUAUGCUGGAGGUAUCAGAAGUGCGAAUGCUGACAUAAGUAACGAUAAAGCGGGUGAAAAGCCCGCUCGCCGGAAGACCAAGGGUUCCUGUCCAACGUUAAUCGGGGCAGGGUGAGUCGACCCCUAAGGCGAGGCCGAAAGGCGUAGUCGAUGGGAAACAGGUUAAUAUUCCUGUACUUGGUGUUACUGCGAAGGGGGGACGGAGAAGGCUAUGUUGGCCGGGCGACGGUUGUCCCGGUUUAAGCGUGUAGGCUGGUUUUCCAGGCAAAUCCGGAAAAUCAAGGCCGAGGCGUGAUGACGAGGCACUACGGUGCUGAAGCAACAAAUGCCCUGCUUCCAGGAAAAGCCUCUAAGCAUCAGGUAACAUCAAAUCGUACCCCAAACCGACACAGGUGGUCAGGUAGAGAAUACCAAGGCGCUUGAGAGAACUCGGGUGAAGGAACUAGGCAAAAUGGUGCCGUAACUUCGGGAGAAGGCACGCUGAUACGUAGGUGAAGCGACUUGCUCGUGGAGCUGAAAUCAGUCGAAGAUACCAGCUGGCUGCAACUGUUUAUUAAAAACACAGCACUGUGCAAACACGAAAGUGGACGUAUACGGUGUGACGCCUGCCCGGUGCCGGAAGGUUAAUUGAUGGGGUUAGCGCAAGCGAAGCUCUUGAUCGAAGCCCCGGUAAACGGCGGCCGUAACUAUAACGGUCCUAAGGUAGCGAAAUUCCUUGUCGGGUAAGUUCCGACCUGCACGAAUGGCGUAAUGAUGGCCAGGCUGUCUCCACCCGAGACUCAGUGAAAUUGAACUCGCUGUGAAGAUGCAGUGUACCCGCGGCAAGACGGAAAGACCCCGUGAACCUUUACUAUAGCUUGACACUGAACAUUGAGCCUUGAUGUGUAGGAUAGGUGGGAGGCUUUGAAGUGUGGACGCCAGUCUGCAUGGAGCCGACCUUGAAAUACCACCCUUUAAUGUUUGAUGUUCUAACGUGGACCCGUGAUCCGGGUUGCGGACAGUGUCUGGUGGGUAGUUUGACUGGGGCGGUCUCCUCCUAAAGAGUAACGGAGGAGCACGAAGGUUGGCUAAUCCUGGUCGGACAUCAGGAGGUUAGUGCAAUGGCAUAAGCCAGCUUGACUGCGAGCGUGACGGCGCGAGCAGGUGCGAAAGCAGGUCAUAGUGAUCCGGUGGUUCUGAAUGGAAGGGCCAUCGCUCAACGGAUAAAAGGUACUCCGGGGAUAACAGGCUGAUACCGCCCAAGAGUUCAUAUCGACGGCGGUGUUUGGCACCUCGAUGUCGGCUCAUCACAUCCUGGGGCUGAAGUAGGUCCCAAGGGUAUGGCUGUUCGCCAUUUAAAGUGGUACGCGAGCUGGGUUUAGAACGUCGUGAGACAGUUCGGUCCCUAUCUGCCGUGGGCGCUGGAGAACUGAGGGGGGCUGCUCCUAGUACGAGAGGACCGGAGUGGACGCAUCACUGGUGUUCGGGUUGUCAUGCCAAUGGCACUGCCCGGUAGCUAAAUGCGGAAGAGAUAAGUGCUGAAAGCAUCUAAGCACGAAACUUGCCCCGAGAUGAGUUCUCCCUGACCCUUUAAGGGUCCUGAAGGAACGUUGAAGACGACGACGUUGAUAGGCCGGGUGUGUAAGCGCAGCGAUGCGUUGAGCUAACCGGUACUAAUGAACCGUGAGGCUUAACCUUACAACGCCGAAG